GGGAUAAGAGAGGUCUUGGGGAGCCAGGCCCAGGGUUGGGGUCUCAGAAGGCAGUGCUGUUGGGGCAUCUGCACCAUGGCCUGGGCUCUGGUCCUCCUCAGUCUCCUCACUCAGGACACAGGGUCCUGGGCCCAGUCUGCCCUGAAUCAGCCUCCCUCAGUGUCCGGGGAUCUGGGACGCACAGUCACCAUCUCCUGUGCUGGCAGCAGCAAUGACAUUGGGAGACAUAAUUACGUCUCCUGGUACCAACAGCUCGAAGGCAUAUCCCCCAAACUCCUGAUUUAUAAUGUAAAUUCCCGGCCUUCAGGGAUCCCUGAUCGCUUCUCUGGCUCCAAGUCUGGCAACACGGCCUCCUUGACCAUCUCUGGGCUCCAGGCUGAAGAUGAGGCUGAUUAUUACUGUUGCUCACAUGCUAGUAGUAAUACUCCUAUUUUUGGCAUAGGGACCCAUCUGACCGUCCUCGGUCAGCCUAAGUCGGCCCCCUCAGUCACGCUCUUCCCGCCCUCCAAUGAGGAGCUCAUCGCCAACAAGGCCACCCUGGUGUGCCUCAUCAGUGACUUCUACCCCAGCGGUAUGACGGUAGCCUGGAAGGCAGAUGGCACCCCUGUCACCCAGGGCGUGGAAACCACCAAGCCCUCCAAACAGAGCAACAACAAGUACGCGGCCAGCAGCUACCUGAGCCUGUCACCGAACCAGUGGAAAUCUCGCGGCAGAUUCACCUGCCAGGUCACGCACGAGGGGAGCACUGUGGAGAAGAGUGUGGUCCCCGCAGAGUGUUCUUAGGUCCCCGAGACUGUCAGGGAUGGAGGCCUUCCUCACCCAGAUACACCUUCCCCAGCUCACCAUGUACCCCUGAGAGCCAACUCCUGUAUCAGCUCAGACCAGGAAGGUCACACACCCUCCCGGUUUCUAUUUGUGCUCAAUAAAGAACUUAUUGUUUAUCAUUCAA